GACAGAGGUGCCAAGCGUUAGGCGGAAUCACUGGGCUUAAAGCGUGUGUAGGCGGAUCGUUAAGUGCUUUGUGAAAUCCCACGGCUCAACCGUGGAAUUGCUCGGCAUACUGGCGAUCUUGAGCCAUCUAGGGGUCGCUGGAACAAACGGUGGAGCGGUGAAAUGCGUAGAUAUCGUUUGGAACGCCAAUGGUGAAAACAGGCGACUGGGGAUGUGCUGACGCUGAGACACGAAAGCCAGGGGAGCAAACGGG
rnacentral:rRNA from 1 species